UACGAAGGGGGCUAGCGUUGCUCGGAAUCACUGGGCGUAAAGCGCACGUAGGCGGCUUUUUAAGUCAGGGGUGAAAUCCUGGAGCUCAACUCCAGAACUGCCUUUGAUACUGAGAAGCUUGAGUCCGGGAGAGGUGAGUGGAACUGCGAGUGUAGAGGUGAAAUUCGUAGAUAUUCGCAAGAACACCAGUGGCGAAGGCGGCUAUCUGGACGGUUUCUGACGCUAAGACGCGAAAGCGUGGGGAGCAAACAGG
rnacentral:rRNA from 1 species